rnacentral:rRNA from 1 species
CCUACGGGAGGCAGCAGUGGGGAAUAUUGGGCAAUGGGCGCAAGCCUGACCCAGCAACGCCGCGUGAAGGAAGAAGGCUCUCGGGGUGUAAACUUUCUUUGUCAGGGACGAAACAAGGGCCGGUACCUGGCGACUAAGCCACGGCUAACUACAUGCAAGCAGCCGCGGUAAUACCUAGGGCGCAAGCGGUAUGCCGGUUUAAAUGGUGUACAGGGCGUGUAGGGGGGACUGAAAGUGAGAUGGGAAAACAACGGGCUCCACCUGUGGACUGCCGUUGACACUGUAGUUCUUGAGUACUGGAGAGGCAGGCGGAAUGCCUGGUGUAGCGGUGAAAUGCGUAGAUAUCACGAGGAACACCAGUGGCGAAGGCGGUCUGCUGGACAGCAACUGACGCUGAGGCGCGAAAGCGUGGGGAGCGAACAGGAUUAGAUACCCCGGUAGUC